rnacentral:rRNA from 1 species
GUACGGGCUAAGUACGUGCCAGCAGCCGCGGUAACACGUACCGGACGAACGUUAUUCGGAAUUACUGGGCUUAAAGAGUACGUAGGCGGCUCUGUAGGUGAGGUGUGAAAGCCCACGGCCUAACCGUGGAAUUGCGCUUCAAACCACAGGGCUUGAGGGAGACAGGGGUGAGCGGAACUGAUGGUGGAGCGGUGAAAUGCGUUGAUAUCAUCAGGAACACCGGUGGCGAAGGCGGCUCACUGGGUCUCUUCUGACGCUGAGGUACGAAAGCUAGGGUAGCGAAAGGGAUUAGAUACCCCUGUAGUC